UACGUAGGGUGCAAGCGUUGUCCGGAAUUAUUGGGCGUAAAGAGCUCGUAGGCGGUUUGUUGCGUCGGCUGUGAAAUCCCGAGGCUCAACCUCGGGUCUGCAGUCGAUACGAGCAAACUAGAGUGUUGCAGGGGAGACUGGAAUUCCUGGUGUAGCGGUGAAAUGCGCAGAUAUCAGGAGGAACACCGGUGGCGAAGGCGGGUCUCUGGUCAGCAACUGACGCUGAGGAGCGAAAGCGUGGGGAGCGAACAGG
rnacentral:rRNA from 1 species